CCUACGGGGGGCUGCAGUGGGGAAUAUUGGGCAAUGGGCGCAAGCCUGACCCAGCAACGCCGCGUGAAGGAAGAAGGCUUUCGGGUUGUAAAUUUCUUUUCUCAGGGACGAAGCAAGUGACGGUACCGGAGGAAUAAGCCACAGCUAACUACGUGCCAGCAGCCGCGGUAAUACGUAGGUGGCAAGCGUUAUCCGGAUUUACUGGGUGUAAAGGGCGUGUAGGCGGGACUGCAAGUCAGAUGUGAAAACCACGGGCUCAACCUGUGGCCUGCAUUUGAAACUGUAGUUCUUGAGUACUGGAGAGGCAGACGGAAUGCCUAGUGUAGCGGGGAAAUGCGUAGAUAUUAGGAGGAACACCAGUGGCGAAGGCGGUCUGCUGGACAGCAACUGACGCUGAGGCGCGAAAGCGUGGGGAGCAAACAGGAUUAGAUAUCCUUGUAGUC
rnacentral:rRNA from 1 species